CCCUCUGGAACGGUAGUAAACGCUCUUAACUGCUGAGCUGUCUCUCCAGAGAGGAUGAUAAGGAACUGAACUCAGGGCCUCACGCUUGAACAGCAAGCACUAUUACUCUCUGGGUCCUCUUCCUAGCCCCAACGCAUGUUCUUUUGAGGAAGUUGUAUGCAUAGAGACCCAUGAAGUGAUGGAUUUCACAUCUGCAUCUUGGUGGCAAGCUAGCCAGUGAUGAUUCGUUUUGGAGUGAGCUCCACUGGAUGGCUCGGCCUCCUCAAGAUGCUCCGUGGUAAUACAAGAGAACAGUGAGGUGAGACAGUGAACUGGAUAGCAGUGGGGCUGGCUCUAGGCAGUGCUGCCUGGCUCCCUGGCUGCACCGCUGAGAGGAAAGCUGCCUUAUCUUGUCCUUGGUCUACCUCACACAAGUCCGUGGGCUAUUUCCUCUUCUAUGAAGCAUGGCAGCUGGAUCCAAUUCAAUAAAUCUAAAGAUUCUGCUGUGCUAGA